CCAGGUUGUCUGAGCUGAAUUAUGCUGCAUCUCUUGUACGCAAAUUUUGGUUCUCUAAGGGUCUGCAACAGCUAUGCUCAGGGGUUUAGCUACAGUGUUGGAUGUGCGUAUGACUGCCGGAUUUUAUCAGAACAAGGACGCCUAUCUAACUUGCUCUUCCAGUAUUUCAACGUGCAGGAUUUUUCAUCUGUGCAUUUGGACAUCCUCUCUCAGACAUCUUUGCUUGGCAGUUGCUCUCUCAGACAUCUUGGCCAUUUAUGAUCCACCUGCCGUGCCAUGGUUGUUGUCUUAUAUAGUCACCUUAUGCUGUGUUGUGUUCUCUUAUCAG
rnacentral:lncRNA from 1 species